UUCACCUCGCUCUUCUCGCUUAUCCUCUCUCCUUGUCCCUCCUCAGUGUUGAUCUCCAUUGCUGAUCUCAGUCCAGAUCCAUGGCAGUCGGCCGAGGGAUUAAUGGGUCCAUCCCUUCAGGCUUGAAGGUGAUGGUUGUUGAUGAAGAUCCCACCUGCCUCCUCUUCAUCACCUUCAUGCUCAAAGCUUGCCUCUUCACUGUUGAAUCCUUCAGUGAUGCAGUGAAAGCUUUGUGUGCUGUCUGUAUGAAAAGGGGACAGUUUGAUCUCGUCAUGGUCGAUUAUCACAUGUUAAGAAUGCCUGCCUUUGAACUUGUUGAGAGCAUUGUCACAGGAUUUGGCAUUCCAGUCAUUACAACAUCAGCUGAUAGUGAUCCAGAAAUUCAGCUAGAAGCUUUUAAGCGUGGGUCUUGCUUACACCUUGUCAAGCCUAUAACUCUUGAUGAUAUGGGUGUUGUGUGGCAGAAAGCCUGGGGGAUUGAAGCAAACAUCUAAAUAGAACUUCAAAGAGAUCCUGUUCCAUAUAUUUUUUAUGAUUGGCUUGCUCUAGAAGAUAUAGUGCCUGGUGUAGCAGAAAGUGCUAAUGCUGAAAAUACUACUGAACUAAGUUUGAUGGAGUCCUCAUCUGACCUGCUUUCUCAUUUUCAUGGUAUUCCUCUUAUUGAGGAUAUUGAGAAAGAGAUGUGUGAGGCAAGAGAAAGAAAAUAGAACCAAAGAAGUUUGAAAUAUAAACAUAUUAUACUGUUGAAUCCUUCAAUAACGCAGUGAAAGCUUUGUGCACUCAGUAUAUGAAAAGGAAACUAUUUGAUCUCGUUAUGGUUGAUUAUCACAUGUUAAGAAUGCCUGCCUUCAAGUUUGUUGAAUGCAUCGUCACUGUAAG